CCUACGGGUGGCAGCAGUGGGGAAUAUUGCACAAUGGGGGAAACCCUGAUGCAGCGACGCCGCGUGAGUGAAGAAGUAUUUCGGUAUGUAAAGCUCUAUCAGCAGGGAAGAAAAUGACGGUACCUGAUUAAGAAGCGCCGGCUAACUACUUGCCAGCAGCCGCGGUAAUACGUAGGGGGCAAGCCUUAGCCGGAUUUACUGGGUGUAAAGUGAGCGGAGACGGCAGCACAAGGCUGGAGUGAAAUGCCCGGGCUUAACCCCGGAACUGCUUUGGAUACUGUGCAGCUAGAGUGCUGGAGAGGUAAGUGGAAUUCCUAGUGAAGCGGUGAAAUGCGUAGAUAUUAGGAGGAACACCAGUGGCGAAGGCGGCUUACUGG
rnacentral:rRNA from 1 species